ACGACCAUAUCAUAUUGAAACAACGGUUCUCGUGCGAUAACCGAAGUUAAGCAGCGUCAUUCUUGGUCAGUACCUAGACGGGUAACCGCUUGGGAAUACGACGUGCUGUAAG